UGCUCUUUGGGUGCGAGUGCCGACGGGUAGGAAUACAUCGGAAUCUACCUUUUCGUGGGGAUAACGUAGGGAAACUUACGGCUAAUACCGCAUACGACCUUCGGGUGAAAGCAGGGGACCUUCGGGCCUUGCGCGGAUAGAUGAGCCGAUGUCGGAUUAGCUAGUUGGCGGGGUAAAGGCCCACCAAGGCGACGAUCCGUAGCUGGUCUGAGAGGUUGUUCUGCCAACACUGGAAAUGAGGCGCGGUCCAGACUCCUACGGGAGGCAGCAGUGGGGAAUAUUGGACAAUGGGCGCAAGCCUGAUCCAGCCAUACCGCGUGGGUGAAGAAGGCCUUCGGGUUGUAAAGCCCUUUUGUUGGGAAAGAAAAGAGAACAGUUAAUACCUGGUUGUUCUGGCGGU
rnacentral:rRNA from 1 species